GUCUACGGCCAUACAACCCUGAACGCACCCGAUCUCAUCUGAUCUCGGAAGCUAAGCAGGGUCUGGCCUGAUUAGUACUUGGAUGGGAAUAGAAAUGAGAAGAAAAUGUGUUUCUCCAGACA
rnacentral:rRNA from 1 species